AGUGAACGCUGGCGGUAGGCCUAACACAUGCAAGUCGAACGGCAGCACAGGAGAGCUUGCUCUCUGGGUGGCGAGUGGCGGACGGGUGAGGAAUACAUCGGAAUCUACUCUGUCGUGGGGGAUAAUGUAGGGAAACUUACGCUAAUACCGCAUACGACCUACGGGUGAAAGCAGGGGACCUUCGGGCCUUGCGCGAUUGAAUGAGCCGAUGUCGGAUUAGCUAGUUGGCGGGGUAAAGGCCCACCAAGGCGACGAUCCGUAGCUGGUCUGAGAGGAUGAUCAGCCACACUGGAAAUGAGACACGGUCCAGACUCCUACGGGAGGCAGCAGUGGGGAAUAUUGGACAAUGGGCGCAAGCCUGAUCCAGCCAUACCGCGUGGGUGAAGAAGGCCUUCGGGUUGUAAAGCCCUUUUGUUGGGAAAGAAAUCCAGCUGGCUAAUACCCGGUUGGGAUGACGGUACCCAAAGAAUAAGCACCGGCUAACUUCGUGCCAGCAGCCGCCGUAA
rnacentral:rRNA from 1 species